GACGAACCGUGCGAACGUUGUUCGGAAUCACUGGGCUUAGAGGGCGCGUAGGCGGGUUCGCAAGUCUGUGGUGAAAGCCUCCAGCUUAACUGGAGAAGUGCCGUGGAUACUGCGAAUCUUGAGGAGGGUAGGGGCGUCUGGAACGGUCGGUGGAGCGGUGAAAUGCGUUGAUAUCGACCGGAACUCCGGUGGCGAAGGCGAGGCGCUGGACCCUUUCUGACGCUGAGGCGCGAAAGCCAGGGGAGCAAACGGG
rnacentral:rRNA from 1 species